rnacentral:rRNA from 1 species
CAGCCGCCGCGGUAAUACGUAGGGUGCGAGCGUUAAUCGGAACUACUGGGCGUAAAGCGUGCGCAGGCGGUUCGUUAAGACAGAUGUGAAAUCCCCGGGCUUAACCUGGGAACUGCAUUUGUGACUGGCGAGCUAGAGUAUGGCAGAGGGGGGUAGAAUUCCACGUGUAGCAGUGAAAUGCGUAGAGAUGUGGAGGAAUACCGAUGGCGAAGGCAGCCCCCUGGGCCAAUACUGACGCUCAUGCACGAAAGCGUGGGGAGCAAACAGGAUUAGAUACCCCCGUAGUCCCUGUCUCUUAUAC